UACGUAGGGUGCAAGCGUUGUCCGGAAUUAUUGGGCGUAAAGAGCUCGUAGGCGGUUUGUCGCGUCUGCUGUGAAAACCCGAGGCUCAACCUCGGGCCUGCAGUGGGUACGGGCAGACUAGAGUGCGGUAGGGGAGAUUGGAAUUCCUGGUGUAGCGGUGGAAUGCGCAGAUAUCAGGAGGAACACCAAUGGCGAAGGCAGCUCUCUGGGACGGUACUGACGCUGAGACGCGAAAGCGUGGGGAGCGAACAGG
rnacentral:rRNA from 1 species